CCCAUUAAUAUUUGGGCUUUGAACCUGUCGACCUGCAAAGAAAUACUCAUUUUCUUGGCAGCCUGUCAUGAAAGGUCUUUUAAUAUUCCUUCAAGCACAGCUAUUUUUCUGUGGUCGAAGUUGUGGUCCGUUGAAAUCUAUAUGGUAUUUUUUUGAAACUCCAUCUCAGCACAGUUUGAGACUAUUUAGCCCAUUUACUUUGAAGAAUGUAAGAAGACUGCAUGAGAAUAAUUUUAAGUAAACCUUCCAACAAAGCCACACUGUCCACAUAAGUUCUACGUCUGCCUAUGGACAACAUGGAAGUAAGCCCCUGUCUCUGGCCAUCAGUUCCUGCUUGAAGUUCUCUGAAAGACAAUGGGAUGAGCCAAGCAACAUGCUGUGUGUCUAUGAGAUCCAGCUUGGUAUAGACCUGUAUGUCUUUAAUACAGGAAAAUCUCUGACACAAUGAAACAAGACAAGACUGUCAGAGUAUUUUCUAGAAAUCAGAGAUUUCAGCUAAAAAUACUUUUGCACUAAGUGAUGUCUUUUCAUUUCUAAUUUAUACCAGAAUUCCAAUAAAAGCCAGCUUGCCCAAAAUGAGGCUGAGUCAGCCAUACUUGGAGAACCACAAAAAUGGAUUGCUCUAUUUCUCAGAAGGAUGCUUGCCACUCUAGAGUCAGGUUUGUCUGAGGAAGGUCAGAAAAUAUAAUAAAGGUCCACAGUUCCUUAUCUGAAAUGUCAAAUUCAAGAAGGCUCUAACACAAAUGCUUGUUUUGGUAACAUGUUUCCUGGAAGUAGCAAAACCUAACCUGAAUGAGUUGAGAUUGUUUUGGGUUUGAAUUCAUCCCACAGAACAUGACUGUUCUAUGGAUUUGACUACAGAAAUAUUGAAGUGUUUGACUAAGAGAUUUUAUCCUAUCUCCUACACUUGAUGUUUCAUGUGUAGAAUACAGGCAAUUUUAUAAUAUUUAAUGUGGUUAAGGAGCUGGUGAUCCAACUCAGUGGCACAGCACGUGUUUAGUAUGCAUGAGGCCUAUAAUUCACUCCCAGCACACAAAAGCUUAAAAUAUGGUUAAACCAAAAACCCACAUGGCUCCAUAUAUUUACAAGAGUAUCUAGACCUGUAAUAAUAAUGAUAGUUAAUGUACUAAGGUAAUACAUUAAGCACCCC
rnacentral:lncRNA from 1 species